rnacentral:rRNA from 1 species
GUAGGGUGCAAGCGUUGUCCGGAAUUAUUGGGCGUAAAGAGCUCGUAGGCGGCUUGUCACGUCUGCUGUGAAAACUCGGGGCUCAACCCCGAGCCUGCAGUGGAUACGGGCUAGCUAGAGUGCGGUAGGGGAGACUGGAAUUCCUGGUGUAGCGGUGAAAUGCGCAGAUAUCAGGAGGAACACCGGUGGCGAAGGCGGGUCUCUGGACCGAUACUGACGCUGAGGAGCGAAAGCGUGGGGAGCGAACAGGAUUAGAUACCCUGGUAGUCCACGCCGUAAACGUUGGGCGCUAGGUGUGGGGAACUUUCCACGUUCUCCGUGCCGCAGCUAACGCAUUAAGCGCCCCGCCUGGGGAGUACGGCCGCAAGGCUA